rnacentral:lncRNA from 1 species
GAUGAAAAGGCUAAAGCAGUAGGUUUUGCGGUGAUAAUGAAACCUCUUAGAGCAAGUAUGAUGGCUGCAUGCCUUAAGCAGCUAAUUGGAAUGGGCAACAAGAGCCAGGGAAAAGAUAUGUGCAAUGGAUCUUCCCUACGUGGCCUAUUUUGUGGUAAGAAAAUUUUGGUGGUAGAUGAUAAUAAAGUAAAUCGCAGGGUUGCUGCCGGUGCGCUCAAAAAAUUUGGGGCUGACGUAGAGUGUGCUGUCGUGGCCUAUUGUGUGGUAAGAGAAUUUUGGUGGUAGACGAUAAUAGAGUAAAUCGCAGGGUUGCUGCUGGAGCGCUCAAAAAAUUUGGGGCUGACGUAGAGUGUGCUGAAAGUGGGAAAGCUGCUCUUUCAUUGCUUCAG